rnacentral:rRNA from 2 species
UGUGUUCCAGGUAAAUCCGGUUCACUUUAACACUGAGGCGUGAUGACGAGGCACUACGGUGCUGAAGUAACAAAUGCCCUGCUUCCAGGAAAAGCCUCUAAGCAUCAGGUAACAUCAAAUCGUACCCCAAACCGACACAGGUGGUCAGGUAGAGAAUACCAAGGCGCUUGAGAGAACUCGGGUGAAGGAACUAGGCAAAAUGGUGCCGUAACUUCGGGAGAAGGCACGCUGACAC